rnacentral:rRNA from 1 species
GAUGAACGCUGGCGGCGUGCCUAACACAUGCAAGUCGAACGGAGUCUAGCCUUUAAGACCUUCGGGUCAAAGAGGGGAAGACUGAGUGGCGGACGGGUGAGUAACACGUGGGCAACCUGGCUCAUAGAGGGGGAUAACAGAGAGAAAUUUCUGCUAAUACCGCAUAAGCACACCCUGCCGCAUGGCAGAGGGUGACAAGAGAAUCGCUAUGAGAUGGACCCGCGUCUGAUUAGCCAGUUGGCAGGGUAAGAGCCUACCAAAGCGAAGAUCAGUAGCCGAUCAUAGAGGAUGAACGGCCACAUUGGGACUGAGACACGGCCCAAACUCCUACGGGAGGCAGCAGUGGGGGAUAUUGCACAAUGGGGGGAACACUGAUGCAGCGACGCCGCGUGAGUGAAGAAGUAUUUCAGUAUGUAAAGCUCUAUCAGCAGGGAAGAUAAUGACAGUACCUGAAUAAGAAGCCCCGGCUAACUACGUG